GACGAACGCUGGCGGCGUGCUUAACACAUGCAAGUCGAGCGGAAAGGCCCUUCGGGGUACUCGAGCGGCGAACGGGUGAGUAACACGUGAGUAACCUGCCCUGGACUUUGGGAUAACCCUCGGAAACGGGGGCGUAAUACCGGAUAUGACCUGUCAUCGCAUGGUGGUGGGUGGAAAGUUUUUCGGUCUGGGAUGGGCUCGCGGCCUAUCAGCUUGUUGGUGGGGUCACGGCUCACCAAGGCGACGACGGGUAGCCGGCCUGAGAGGUGACCGGCCACACUGGGACUGAGACACGGCCCAGACUCCUACGGGAGGCAGCAGUGGGGAAUAUUGCGCAAUGGGCGGAAGCCUGACGCAGCGACGCCGCGUGAGGGAUGACGGCC
rnacentral:rRNA from 1 species